ACGCUGGCGGGCGCCUAAUAAUGCAAGUGGAGCGACGAACCAGGCUUCGGCCUGGGGCAAAGCCGCGAACGGGUGAGUAACACGUGGGUAACCUGCCCCGAUGAUUGGGACAACCCGAGGAAACUCGGGCUAAUACCGAAUGUGCCCUCCGACCAUAAGGCCGGUGGGGAAAGGAAGCUUCGGCCUCCGCAUCGGGAUGGGCCCGCGGCCCAUUAGCUUGUUGGUGAGGUAAAGGCUCACCAAGGCGACGAUGGGUAGCUGGUCUGAGAGGACGAUCAGCCACACUGGGACUGAGAUACGGCCCAGACUCCUACGGGAGGCAGCAGUAGGGAAUCUUGCGCAAUGCGCGAAAGCGUGACGCAGCAACGCCGCGUGGGGGAAGAAGGCCUUCGGGUUGUAAACCCCUUUCAGUUGGGACGAAGCUCCGUCGGUGAAUAGCCGGCUGGAGUGACGGUACCUUCAGAAGAAGCCCCGGCUAACUACGUGCCAGCAGCCGCGGUAAUACGUANGGGGCUA
rnacentral:rRNA from 1 species